GAUGAAGAACGCAGUGAAAUGCGAUAAGUAAUGUGAAUUGCAGAAUUCAGUGAAUCAUCGAAUCUUUAAACGCACAUUGCGCCCGCCAGUAUUCUGGCGGGCAUGCCUGUCCGAGCGUCAUUUCAACCCUCGAACCCCUCCGGGGGGUCGGCGUUGGGGAUCGGCCCUUUACGGGGCCGGCCCCGAAAUACAGUGGCGGUCUCGCCGCAGCCUCUCCUGCGCAGUAGUUUGCACACUCGCAUCGGGAGCGCGGCGCGUCCACAGCCGUUAAACACCCCAAACUUCUGAAAUGUUGACCUCGGAUCAGGUAGGAAUACCCGCUGAACUUAAGCAUAUCAAUAAGCGGAGGA
rnacentral:misc_RNA from 1 species